GAUGAACGCUGGCGGCGUGCCUCAAACAUGCAAGUCGAGCGGGGCUAUGUAAUAUCGCAAGGUAGAACAUAGCCUAGCGGCGAACGGGUGAGUAACACGUGGGUAACCUGCCUGGAAGACAGGGAUAACGAUUCGAAAGGGUCGCUAAUACCUGAUAAUACCCUUUCAUCGCAUGGUGAUAGGAAGAAAGGGGAAACCCGCUUUCAGAUGGGCCCGCGUCCCAUCAGCUAGUUGGUAAGGUAAAGGCUUACCAAGGCGACGGACGGGUAGCCGGUCUGAGAGGAUGUACGGCCACACUGGGACUGAGAUACGGCCCAGACUCCUACGGGAGGCAGCAGUUGGGAAUCUUAGGCAAUGGACGAAAGUCUGACCUAGCGACGCCGCGUGAGGGAAGAAGGCCUUCGGGUUGUAAACUCUGUCAUGGGGAAGAAGUAAGUGACGGUACCCAACGAGGAAGCCCCUGCUAACUACGUG
rnacentral:rRNA from 1 species